UACGUAGGGUGCAAGCGUUGUCCGGAAUUAUUGGGCGUAAAGAGCUCGUAGGCGGUUUGUCGCGUCUGCUGUGAAAACUCGGGGCUUAACCCCGGGCCUGCAGUGGGUACGGGCAGACUAGAGUGCGGUAGGGGAAACUGGAAUUCCUGGUGUAGCGGUGAAAUGCGCAGAUAUCAGGAGGAACACCGGUGGCGAAGGCGGGUCUCUGGGCCGUAACUGACGCUGAGGAGCGAAAGCAUGGGGAGCGAACAGG
rnacentral:rRNA from 1 species